CUUUCCCGGAGCUUGCUCCACCGAAAGAAAAAGAGUGGCGAACGGGUGAGUAACACGUGGGUAACCUGCCCAUCAGAAGGGGAUAACACUUGGAAACAGGUGCUAAUACCGUAUAACACUAUUUUCCGCAUGGAAGAAAGUUGAAAGGCGCUUUUGCGUCACUGAUGGAUGGACCCGCGGUGCAUUAGCUAGUUGGUGAGGUAACGGCUCACCAAGGCAACGAUGCAUAGCCGACCUGAGAGGGUGAUCGGCCACACUGGGACUGAGACACGGCCCAGACUCCUACGGGAGGCAGCAGUAGGGAAUCUUCGGCAAUGGACGAAAGUCUGACCGAGCAACGCCGCGUGAGUGAAGAAGGUUUUCGGAUCGUAAAACUCUGUUGUUAGAGAAGAACAAGGAUGAGAGUAAAAUGUUCAUCCCUUGACGGUAUCUAACCAGAAAGCCACGGCUAACUACGUGCCAGCAGCCGCGGUAAUACGUAGGUGGCAAGCGUUGUCCGGAUUUAUUGGGCGUAAAGCGAGCGCAGGCGGUUUCUUAAGUCUGAUGUGAAAGCCCCCGGCUCAACCGGGGAGGGUCAUUGGAAACUGGGAGACUUGAGUGCAGAAGAGGAGAGUGGAAUUCCAUGUGUAGCGGUGAAAUGCGUAGAUAUAUGGAGGAACACCAGUGGCGAAGGCGGCUCUCUGGUCUGUAACUGACGCUGAGGCUCGAAAGCGUGGGGAGCGAACAGGAUUAGAUACCCUGGUAGUCCACGCCGUAAACGAUGAGUGCUAAGUGUUGGAGGGUUUCCGCCCUUCAGUGCUGCAGCAAACGCAUUAAGCACUCCGCCUGGGGAGUACGACCGCAAGGUUGAAACUCAAAGGAAUU
rnacentral:rRNA from 1 species